UGUAUCACCACUCGUUGAGCUCGUUACUUUCUGGAAUUUUCUAUUGUUAAGAGCCGCAGAGAAAUUAUGAAGGCUUUCCUGGUCUGCGCCGUGCUCGCCACCGUCACCGCCGUGAGUUUUGCUCACCAUCUCGAGCUCUGCGGCAAAGCAAAGCUUUGACAACGCUAUGACUGCUCUUGGCUGCGCGGACUGGAGCUGCGUCAUCCGGAAACUGUGCGAGGGAGGCGAUUUGGAAGGGGCGAUGGCGCAAUAUUUCACACAAGCACAGAUCACGGAAAUUCACAACGCUGCCACCGCAUGCGACCCGGACGCGUAGGAGGAAGACGGCAAAUGAAAACUGACUGCUCAUAUAUUCAAGAACACUCCCUGCAUACAAACAUCCAGAUAGACUGAUUUCAGGACUACGACCUGGAGAGUCGUACAUUCUUAAAUAUCUUUUUUUUUUUUUUUUUGCUAUGAGACAAAAUAAAUACAAUUUUGCGUGAAA
rnacentral:misc_RNA from 1 species